rnacentral:rRNA from 1 species
GAUGAACGCUGGCGGCGUGCCUAAUACAUGCAAGUAGAACGCUGAAGGAGGAGCUUGCUCUUCUGGAUGAGUUGCGAACGGGUGAGUAACGCGUAGGUAACCUGCCUGGUAGCGGGGGAUAACUAUUGGAAACGAUAGCUAAUACCGCAUGACAACAGUGAUUGCAUGAUAACUGUUUAAAAGGGGCAACUGCUCCACUACCAGAUGGACCUGCGUUGUAUUAGCUAGUUGGUGAGGUAACGGCUCACCAAGGCGACGGUACAUAGCCGACCUGAGAGGGGGAUCGGCCACACUGGGACUGAGACACGGCCCAGACUCCUACGGGGGGCAGCAGUAGGGAAUCUUCGGCAAUUGACGGAAGUCUGACCGAGCAACGCCGCGGGAGUGAAGAAGGGUUUCGGAUCGUAAAGCUCUGUUGUAAGAGAAGAACGAGUGUGAGAGUGGAAAGUUCACACUGUGACGGUAUCUUACCAGAAAGGGACGGCUAACUACGUG